AGUGAACGCUGGCGGUAGGCCUAACACAUGCAAGUCGAACGGCAGCACAGUAAGAGCUUGCUCUUACGGGUGGCGAGUGGCGGACGGGUGAGGAAUACAUCGGAAUCUACUUUUUCGUGGGGGAUAACGUAGGGAAACUUACGCUAAUACCGCAUACGACCUACGGGUGAAAGCAGGGGAUCUUCGGACCUUGCGCGAUUGAAUGAGCCGAUGUCGGAUUAGCUAGUUGGCGGGGUAAAGGCCCACCAAGGCGACGAUCCGUAGCUGGUCUGAGAGGAUGAUCAGCCACACUGGAACUGAGACACGGUCCAGACUCCUACGGGAGGCAGCAGUGGGGAAUAUUGGAAAAUGGGCGCAAGCCUGAUCCAGCCAUACCGCGUGGGUGAAGAAGGCCUUCGGGUUGUAAAGCCCUUUUGUUGGGAAAGAAAAGCAGCAGGUUAAGACCCCGCUGUUCUGACGGUACCCAAAGAAUAAGCACCGGCUAACUUCGU
rnacentral:rRNA from 1 species